GUGUGAGAGAGAGAGAGAGAGAGAGAGAGAGAGAGAGAGAGAGAGAGAGAGAGAGAGAGAGAGAGAGAGAGAGAGAGAGAGAAAUUGUGUCUGGUUAUCCAAAUGCAAUGUAAAAAUGGUUUUAGAUCCAAUUUUAUUUACAUAUUAAUUACAAAUAAUCAUUAUUUUUUUAACCUGUGUCAAAGUUUAAUUUGUAUUAGUACUGUAUGUUCCUUUAAUGACCCUUUAACAGGGAUAUUAUUUUUGCACUAUUGAGAAUAUCACUUUCAUUAUGGUAGUAUUAUGUUGUGAUAGUUUGCAAAAGGCCAAAUGGAAAGGAAAAAAAUGUGGGUUUGGUUCACAAUAAUGACGAUUGUUUUGCGGUUGUACUAUGUUAGCAAUUUGUGUGGCCUCAUUGCGGUGUUUGAACAUAGUAGUGUUUCCACGUUUAUCAUCAAGUAAAUCCACAAGGCCUUUUAAUCAAUUAGAGUGGGGAAAUUGGGAACCAAAUUAAUCGUUACUUUUUUUUGUUCAACAACAACUAUUUGUUGUUCAACAACUACUAGGGUUCAAAUAAUCUGUAGUGAUACAAUGGACCAAAACAUUAUAGCAGGUGUUUUUGCUGCUCUCUGUUUGGCUGGUUCGCUUCCCAUUCCCUUACGGGAUUGGUCGAUUUGGUCGUCACCAUUGAACUGUUGUACUCAACCAACACAGGACGAUUUCAGACAGUGAAUCUAGAGCUCUGGUGUGGUCGGGACAGCUGAGACACCCGGAACAUCUUCAUGAACAAACCGCUGCUCUCCCCUCCAGCACUGGAAUGUGCAGCUUUAUCCUUAUCGCAAUUGAUUUGUGCCGCAGCCCGAAGGGGAAUCGGAGUUGGACUGCUUUAUCAAGCCAUAUUUACAGAGGACUUCCACAGAAUGGAGAUGACACGAGGGCCGUGUUGGUUGUGCUGGGGUUUUAUGUAAAUAUGUGUGAGUAGACUGUACAAUAACGUAUGUGGAUGUGUCGAAGGAACCCUGC
ensembl:lncRNA